GGGUUGCUGAGGGGAGGGGACCUGGCCCCAGGCUGCCCAUCUGCAGGGGGCUGUGCCUGGGGAGAUGAGCAGGAUCCUGCCCUAGGUUUCCCUUGGCCUGGAGGGAGCAGGUGCCCACAGGGAGAAGAAAAUGGGAUUCUUUACCCCUGAAGGGCAGAGUGUUCUCUCCAGAAAGCCAGAGGCAUUUCCCAGGUAAGACAGUUGAGUCGUGUGUUUCUAGACAUCCCAAAAAUACAGGCAAGAGAAGUGGGGUUAUUCCCACCUCGGCAUCCAGACCCGGCAGCGGUUGGGAGCGGUGCCUGGCGUCGUGUGGACAAACUCGUGGGUUCCUGGGAGGAACUGAGCCCAGAGAGCUGCCUUCCCGGGAAGGACACUGACUCCCUGCUCUUCCCUAUCUGUCCUGCCAGUGCCUCUCUUGGAUACAGGGCAGCAAGAGAGGAGUUCCUGGCCAGCCCUGCUGCUACGGUGGUUUCGUGCCAUACAAAGGAAAUCCAAAGUCUUUGGACCAGGAAAAGAAAAUAGCAGCAAAUACAAUAAAUACUUGUAGCUGUGAUGAGAGCCGGGACGGGUGCCGUGGUCUCUGGUUCUGCUCCCAGGACAGUCUGUGCCCAGUCUCUAAGGACUGCAAGCCUGCAGGUUCCCCACAAAGCUGCUGUGUUUGGUCCUGCUGAACCCCUGCCUGAAGGCAUCUGCUGUGUGUUGGUGACACUACAGGUGACUGACUGCAAAGGUGACACUGAAGGGGCUUUGCCAUGCAAGAGCAAGGGCUGACUGAGGGCGUGUGGCCUGCCCACUGCCUGUGCUGCUGGCCAGCUGGAGAGGCAAAUUGCAGCCAAAUUGCUCAAGGACGUGUCACGCUGUUAUCGGUGUUGCUAGUGCAGUUACACUGGCCUUAUUGUGACUGGAUGUACCAUUAAACAAGUUUGAUUUUGUU